AGAUUGAACGCUGGCGGCAUGCUUUACACAUGCAAGUCGAACGGUAACAGGCCGCAAGGUGCUGACGAGUGGCGAACGGGUGAGUAAUGCAUCGGAACGUGCCCAGUCGUGGGGGAUAACGCAGCGAAAGCUGUGCUAAUACCGCAUACGAUCUAUGGAUGAAAGCGGGGGACCAAAGGCCUCGCGCGAUUGGAGCGGCCGAUGUCAGGUUAGCUAGUUGGUGGGGUAAAGGCCCACCAAGGCGACGAUCUGUAGCUGGUCUGAGAGGACGACCAGCCACACUGGAACUGAGACACGGUCCAGACUCCUACGGGAGGCAGCAGUGGGUAAUUUGGACAAGUGGGCGCAAGCCUGACUCCAGCAAUGCCGCGUGCAGGAAGAAGGCCUUACGGUGUAAACGUGUACGUUUUGGUAACCGGUAACGAACGGUAC
rnacentral:rRNA from 1 species